rnacentral:rRNA from 1 species
UACGUAGGGGGCUAGCGUUGUCCGGAUUUAUUGGGCGUAAAGAGCGUGUAGGCGGCCAGGUAGGUCUGCUGUGAAAACUCGAGGCUCAACCUCGAGAUGUCGGCGGAAACCAUCUGGCUAGAGUCCGGAAGAGGAGAGUGGAAUUCCAGGUGUAGCGGUGAAAUGCGUAGAUAUCUGGAGGAACACCGGUGGCGAAGGCGGCAUCCUGGACCGGCAUUGACGCUGAGGCGCGAAAGCCAGGGGAGCAAACGGG